GGAGCUGAGAGGAACAGGAAGUGUCAGGACUUUAGGACCCGCGCCUCCAGCUGAGGUUUCUAGACGUGACCCAGGGCAGACUGGUAGCGAAGCCCCCACGCCCAGCCAGGAGCACCGCCGAGGACUCCAGAGCACCAAGGGACAUGCUGGGCCUGCGCCCCCCACUGCUCGCCCUGGUGGGGCUGCUCUCCCUCGGGUGCGUCCUCUCUCAGGAGUGCACGAAGUUCAAGGUCAGCAGCUGCCGGGAAUGCAUCGAGUCGGGGCCCGGCUGCACCUGGUGCCAGAAGCUGAACUUCACAGGGCCGGGGGAUCCUGACUCCAUUCGCUGCGACACCCGGCCACAGCUGCUCAUGAGGGGCUGUGCGGCUGACGACAUCAUGGACCCCAAGAGCCUCGCUGAAACCCAGGAAGACCACAAUGGGGGCCAGAAGCAGCUGUCCCCACAAAAAGUGACGCUUUACCUGCGACCAGGCCAGGCAGCAGCGUUCAACGUGACCUUCCGGCGGGCCAAGGGCUACCCCAUCGACCUGUACUACCUGAUGGACCUCUCCUACUCCAUGCUUGAUGACCUCAGGAAUGUCAAGAAGCUGGGGGGCGACCUGCUACGGGCCCUCAACGAGAUCACCGAGUCCGGCCGCAUUGGCUUCGGGUCCUUCGUGGACAAGACCGUGCUGCCGUUCGUGAACACGCACCCUGAUAAGCUGCGAAACCCAUGCCCCAACAAGGAGAAGGAGUGCCAGCCCCCGUUUGCCUUCAGGCACGUGCUGAAGCUGACCAACAACUCCAGCCAGUUUCAGACCGAGGUCGGGAAGCAGCUGAUUUCCGGAAACCUGGACGCACCCGAGGGUGGGCUGGAUGCCAUGAUGCAGGUCGCUGCCUGCCCGGAGGAAAUCGGCUGGCGCAACGUCACGCGGCUGCUGGUGUUUGCCACCGAUGACGGCUUCCAUUUCGCGGGCGACGGGAAGCUGGGCGCCAUUCUGACCCCCAACGACGGCCGCUGUCACCUGGAGGACAACUUGUACAAGAGGAGCAACGAAUUCGACUACCCAUCGGUGGGCCAGCUGGCGCACAAGCUGGCUGAAAACAACAUCCAGCCCAUCUUCGCGGUGACCAGUAGGAUGGUGAAGACCUACGAGAAACUCACCGAGAUCAUCCCCAAGUCAGCCGUGGGGGAGCUGUCUGAGGACUCCAGCAAUGUGGUCCAUCUCAUUAAGAAUGCUUACAAUGUGAGUCUCCUGCACCACUCAGCUGGGACCCAUGGGGUGGCCAGCAAUCUCCCCACUGCAGGUCAGCUCCUGCUGCAGGUCAGCAGGAGGGUGGUCUGGGAGGAAAGCCCCUGCCCCGUGGGGCAGCUGCAGCCUCCCGACCUGCCCUCAGGCCUCCAGGACACCCUGGCCCGGCACUUCCACGGGGAGCUCUGGGUCCUCUCUCGUUGAUGUUGUGGGCGAUGCUCCCUGAAACCCGAGCUCCGGACUCUUCAUUCCAGACUUUUCUCUGCGGGUCUCUAUGGAGAAGGGGGGUGGACAGCUCUGGUGGCAAACAGUACAGCUGGGGCAGGAGGAGGACACAGGAAACUCCCACGGUGGACUUGGGCCCUGGGAAGACACCCUGGGGGGUGGAAUUCCUCUUGCUCUGUUCACCUGUCCUGGGCAAGCUCCAGAGAAGCCCUCACCCCCUGAAUUUCUCCCUGGUGCACGGCCUAUCGAGCUGCACCCUGGGCUGCUCCCCUGGGGAGCCCAUGGCCCUGGUGGACAUAGGUAGGAAUAGGGGCGCACUAGGUGCCACUCAGGGCCCCAGGCACCAGAGGUCCCGACUGCUCUGGAAAUCUACCCCCAGGUGAGAGAUGUUCUCAGAAUUCUGGCCUGGAUCCUUCUAGGCCAAAGGUCCUGCUGGCUUGAGGGAGCUCAGCACGUUAGCGCCUCCGACAAAUGCUGGGUCAUUGAAUUAAACUGAAGGCCCGUGGAGGAGGUGCCAUUUGCUUCUCGUAGCCUCCCGUGAGCCCCAAACCCCCAGAGCAGACCCUCCUGGGUGCCAGCCACUGCCCGAGGUGUUUCUGUCCUUACACAGAGGAUGCAGGUGACGCCACUGCCCUGGCCAUUCACCCGAUGCCCCUAUGAACCUGUUCCUCUACCUCCUCUCAAUUUCCGUCUGUCUCUCAGUCUUUGUCUCUCUUUCUCUGUCUCUCUCUGUCUCUGCCCCAUCUCUGUCUGUCUCUGUCUCUGCCUCUCUCUGUUUCUCUCCAUCUCUCUGUCUCUGGCUCUGGCUCUGCCCAUCUCUGUCUGUCUCUGCCUCUCUCUGUUUCUCCCUAUCUCUCUUAUCGCUUGAACAAUUUAUGCAGCUCCUGCCCUGUGCUAGGUCCUGGGGACUCAAGGCUGAGGAGCAGCAGAAGCUCCCAUCCCUGAGUCUCACACCCUGGCUCCAUGCUAGUCCCUGUGGUCGGGCUGUCUCGAGGGCAGGACUGUGGCCCUGGCAGCCCUGCCAUCCUCAGCACAUCCUGCUGUGCUCUCCUCUGUGUCAUUAGCUGACACUGGGGACUUGCGGGGAGAGCAGAAGUGGAGACGGGUCUAAACCACUGGGCCAGGCAGGGCCAGGACAACAGAAACACUCGCCCCCUAAGAGUAACCGCUCUCUGCCCACAGAAACUCUCCUCCAGGGUCUUCCUGGAUCACAACGCCCUCCCCGACACCCUGAAAGUCACCUAUGACUCCUUCUGCAGCAAUGGAGUGACGCACAGGAACCAGCCCAGAGGUGACUGUGAUGGCGUGCAGAUCAAUGUCCCGGUGAGCCUGGCCACAAGGGUCCCCAUCUCAGCUUGCUGAGGGGCUCUGGAGACAGCCAGAAGGAGCCAGGGUCCCCAUCCCAGCACACUGAGGGGUCCUGGGGACAGCCAGAAGGAGCCAGGGUCCCCAUCCCAGCACUCUGAUGGGGGAAGGGAGGGGCACACAGGCAUCAGAGGCUGUCUGGGAGCAGGCAGCAUCCACUGGCAGGUCCCUGUUUCUUUCCUUCACCUCCUCUCUGCCGAGGCCAGACGCUUUCCUUGUGAAGCUGAUGUCAGGAACGUCAGUGAGAGGGUGCCGGGAGGGUGCUUCUCAGUGAGAGGGUGCUGGGAGGGUUCUUCACACACGCCUUGGCCCAAGAGUCCUACUCAUCAACCUGGAGCCCCAAAUCCCUGGGUCAGGCCACUGCAGACUGAGGGAUGGAGUGAUGGCUGCACCCCCUGGGGGCAGACGCCGGACACACAGAACAGGCACAAACGGCAAACCUGGAUCACCUUCCAGGUGAAGGUCACGGCCACAGAGUGUAUCCAGGAGCAGUCAUUUGUCAUCCGGGCGCUGGGCUUCACGGACAUAGUGACCGUGCGGGUCCUUCCCCAGUGCGAGUGCCGGUGCCGGGACCAGAGCAGAGACCGCAGCCUCUGCCAUGGCAAGGGCUUCUUGGAGUGCGGCAUCUGCAGGUGUGACACUGGCUACAUUGGGAAAAACUGUGAGUGCCAGACACAGGGCCGGAGCAGCCAGGAGCUGGAAGGAAGCUGCCGGAAGGACAACAACUCCAUCAUCUGCUCAGGGCUGGGGGACUGUGUCUGCGGGCAGUGCCUGUGCCACACCAGCGACGUCCCCGGCAAGCUGAUAUACGGGCAGUACUGCGAGUGUGACACCAUCAACUGUGAGCGCUACAACGGCCAGGUCUGCGGUGGCCCGGGGAGGGGGCUCUGCUUCUGCGGGAAGUGCCGCUGCCACCCGGGCUUUGAGGGCUCAGCGUGCCAGUGCGAGAGGACCACCGAGGGCUGCCUGAACCCGCGGCGUGUUGAGUGCAGUGGCCGUGGCCGGUGCCGCUGCAACGUAUGUGAGUGCCAUUCAGGCUACCAGCUGCCUCUGUGCCAGGAGUGCCCCGGCUGCCCCUCACCCUGUGGCAAGUACAUCUCCUGUGCCGAGUGCCUGAAGUUCGAAAAGGGCCCCUUUGGGAAGAACUGCAGCGCGGCGUGUCCGGGCCUGCAGCUGUCGAACAACCCCGUGAAGGGCAGGACCUGCAAGGAGAGGGACUCAGAGGGCUGCUGGGUGGCCUACACGCUGGAGCAGCAGGACGGGAUGGACCGCUACCUCAUCUAUGUGGAUGAGAGCCGAGAGUGCGUGGCAGGCCCCAACAUCGCUGCCAUUGUCGGGGGCACCGUGGCAGGCAUCGUGCUGAUCGGCAUCCUCCUGCUGGUCAUCUGGAAGGCUCUGAUCCACCUGAGCGACCUCCGGGAGUACAGGCGCUUUGAGAAGGAGAAGCUCAAGUCCCAGUGGAACAAUGAUAAUCCCCUUUUCAAGAGCGCCACCACGACGGUCAUGAACCCUAAGUUUGCUGAGAGUUAGGAGCACUUGGUGAAGACAAGGCCAUCAGGACCCACCAUGUCUGCCCCAUCACGCGGCCGAGACAUGGCUUGCCACAGCUCUUGAGGAUGUCACCAAUUAACCAGAAAUCCAGUUAUUUUCCGCCCUCAAAAUGACAGCCAUGGCCGGCCGGGUGCUUCUGGGGGCUCGUCGGGGGGACAGCCCCACUCUGACUGGCACAGUCUUUGCAUGGAGACUUGAGAAGGGAGGGCUUGAGGUUGGUGAGGUUAGGUGCAUGUUUCCUGUGCAAGUCAGGACAUCAGUCUGAUUAAAGGUGGUGCCAAUUUAUUUACAUUUAAACUUGUCAGGGUAUAAAAUGACAUCCCAUUAAUUAUAUUGUUAAUCAAUCACGUGUAUAGAAAAAAAAUAAAACUUCAAUACAGGCUGUCCAUGGAAA
rnacentral:sRNA from 1 species